CGCGCGAGGCGGAAGGCUGGGGGGGGGGGGGGAGCGUUUCAUCGAGCGCGCGGGGCAAAAAAAGAAGAAAAAAAAAAAGGCGGGUAGAGCGGCCACGCCCUCCCGUGACGUCACAGUUUCCCCCGAGGAACGGGAAGGAAUGGCGACUUCGGAAGCUGCGAACGAUUGUAGGAGCCAACUGCCCCCGUGCUCUUUGACGGAUGAUGAUCUCUCGGCUAAUCCUGGCUUGGCUAACCUCCUUACGGGUCUGAAAAAACACAUCGAUCCUUCGGGGAUGACCAUCGCUUUGGCCCAACCAUUGG